rnacentral:rRNA from 1 species
CUAAGAAUCUUCCGCAAUGGGCGAAAGCCUGACGGAGCGACGCCGCGUGGGUGAAGAAGGCCGAGAGGUUGUAAAGCCCUUUUCUGCAUGAGGAAUAAGCGUGGGAGGGAAUGCCCGCGUGAUGACGGUAGUGCAGGAAUAAGCCCCGGCCAAUUACGUGCCAGCAGCCGCGGUAACACGUAUGGGGCGAGCGUUGUUCGGAAUCAUUGGGCGUAAAGGGCGCGCAGGCGGCUGCGCAAGCCUGGUGUGAAAGACCGCAGCUUAACUGCGGGCACGCGCUGGGAACUGUGUGGCUUGAGUUCCGGAGGGGAAGCUGGAAUUCCUGGUGUAGGGGUGAAAUCUGUAGAUAUCAGGAAGAACAUCAGCGGCGAAGGCGAGCUUCUGGCCGUGAACUGACGCUGAGGCGCGAAAGCGUGGGGAGCGAACA